rnacentral:rRNA from 1 species
UACGUAGGGUGCAAGCGUUAAUCGGAAUUACUGGGCGUAACGCGUGCGCAGGCGGUUCGCUAAGACAGAUGUGAAAUCCCCGGGCUUAACCUGGGAACUGCAUUUGUGACUGGCGGGCUAGAGUAUGGCAGAGGGGGGUAGAAUUCCACGUGUAGCAGUGAAAUGCGUAGAGAUGUGGAGGAAUACCGAUGGCGAAGGCAGCCCCCUGGGCCAAUACUGACGCUCAUGCACGAAAGCGUGGGGAGCAAACAGG